CAGAGCGUAGCUAAAUGUAAAGCAUCCCGCUUACACUGGGAAAUCACCCGUGCAAACCGGGUCGCUCUGA
rnacentral:tRNA from 1 species